CCAGCGUGACGUCACGGGACGUCGAUAUACCGCUAAGCCCAGUUUUCGGUGCGAUCUCUCAUAUUUUCUUCCCACCGAAGGAAAAAACUCCGAAGUGUCCGGAUUCCGCGAGAUUCUCCCUUAAAAAGUGUCUUUUUACUGUUAAAAUUACAUUAUGUCGGCCGGCGACAAUUUGGGACCCGGAGGACCGGGGGCGGGGGGCGGUGACACCGACGGUAUCGUGGGCGGCCCCCGGACGCCCCAGCAGAUCGCCGCCCAAAAGCGACUACAACAAACUCAGGCCCAAGUUGACGAGGUGGUCGACAUCAUGAAGACCAACGUCGAGAAAGUGCUCGAGAGGGAUCAGAAACUUUCUGAGCUCGAUGACAGAGCGGAUGCGCUCCAGCAGGGAGCGUCACAGUUCGAACAGCAAGCGGGCAAAUUAAAACGAAAAUUUUGGUUACAGAACUUAAAGAUGAUGAUCAUAAUGGGGGUCAUCGGUCUGGUAAUCUUAUUCAUCAUAAUCAUGAACUUCAUGUAACUGUCAUUCAAUCGCCCGGGUCAGAUAUUCGUUUGAAUUGGCAAAAAAAGAACCGUCAACCAUUAAUAUAAAUAACAUAUGUGCACAUACGCAGUGUCAUUUUAACAUUAUAUUUACAAUAAUUAGGAUUGUAUAUUAUAUAUGAAUUUGGCACCCAAAAAUACAGUAUAUAGGGAUAAUAAGUAAUUCAUUGUUAAUAAAAAUAAUAAUUAUAUUGUAAAAAAGCGCGGCCAUUUCAUAAAAACUGUGUGUCGUACAUUUUGAAGUUAUUUAUGAAACUUUUUAUUAACUUACAUUGCUUGAUAAAGUUUACGACUAUAGAGUAUAAAGUUAGAGAUUUAGGGUCUUUGAAUUUUUUAGGAUAUUAUUGUAUGCAUUAUGUGUUCUUAUCUCAAACGAAGAGAACUAUAUAUUAUAUAAAAAUAUAUAUAAGAAGAGUAUCGUAUAUCACUUAAAACUGCUAUAUAUGGUGAAAUUACCAACUCACGAAUAUUUUAUUUAUAUAAGACUAUUUCUUCUGCUAUUAUAACAUAUAAUGUAUCAUAUAUUUUACGAACCCCUAUAUUAAUUUUGAUUAUAUAACUAAAACCAAAUUUAAUUAGGAUGAGUAUUGUCGUGUGUCCUAGUCAAUAAUAUGUAUAAAAAAAUAUAUAAUAUUAACUUAAAAUUUGCCGAGGCCCUUUAUUUAUUAGAAGACCAGACCUUCAAGUAUGAAGAAUGCAAACAGUGAAAUUUAUGCCAGAAGAAAAAAACACAACCCCCUACAUCCCACCAGGAUACCAACCGCCCUUACCAACUGCGGCUCCUCCUGCACCUAUUGACACCAAGGCUUCUCCUCCAGUGGCUAAGUCUUAAAUACGUUUGCUAACCGUUUAA